rnacentral:rRNA from 1 species
GGAAGUGGGGAUGACGUCAAGUCCGCAUGCUCCUUACGUCUAGGGCUACACACGUCCUACAAUGGGUCGACAGUGGGAUGCAAAGCCGCGAGGUGGAGCCAAUCCCCAAACGGCCUCUCAGUUCGGAUAGUAGUCUGCAACUCGACUACUUGAAGUCGGAAUCGCUAGUAAUGGCGGAUCAGCAUGCCGCCGUGAAUACGUUCCCGGGUCUU